GUGAGGAAUUUUCCGCAAUGGGCGAAAGCCUGACGGAGCAAUGCCGCGUGAAGGAUGAAGGCCUAUGGGUUGUAAACUUCUUUUCUCAGAAAAGAAUUAUGACGGUAUCUGAGGAAUAAGCAUCGGCUAACUCUGUGCCAGCAGCCGCGGUAAGACAGAGGAUGCAAGCGUUAUCCGGAAUGAUUGGGCGUAAAGCGUCUGUAGGUUGUUUAAAAAGUAUUCUGUCAAAGAUUAGGGCUUAACCCUAGAUAGGCAGAAUAAACUUUUAAGCUAGGGUUUGGUAGAGGCAGAGGGAAUUCCCGGUGGAGCGGUGAAAUGCGUAGAUAUCGGGAGGAACACCAAAGGCGAAGGCACUCUGCUGGGCCAAUACUAACACUGAGAGACGAAAGCGAGGGGAGCAAAUGGGAUUAGAUACCCGUGUAGUCC
rnacentral:rRNA from 1 species